GGGAAUGUGGCUUAGUGGUAGAGUGCUUGCCUAGCAUGCAUGGAGCACUGGGUUCGAUUCCUCAGCACCA
rnacentral:tRNA from 1 species